rnacentral:rRNA from 1 species
AGACAGCAGUAGCCACGGGAAUACAGAGGGUGCGAGCGUUAAUCGGAUUUACUGGGCGUAAAGCGUGCGUAGGCGGCUUCUUAAGUCGGAUGUGAAAUCCCUGAGCUUAACUUAGGAAUUGCAUUCGAUACUGGGAAGCUAGAGUAUGGGAGAGGAUGGUAGAAUUCCAGGUGUAGCGGUGAAAUGCGUAGAGAUCUGGAGGAAUACCGAUGGCGAAGGCAGCCAUCUGGCCUAAUACUGACGCUGAGGUACGAAAGCAUGGGGAGCAAACAGGAUUAGAUACCCCGGUAGUCCCUGUCUCUUAUAC